UUGUGUCUUUGUACGUAUAGUUCUAUGGUCGCCAUACCGAUGGUUCAGCCUUCAGGUAUAAAAUUUACCAGAUGUUGAGUCCUCAGAGUUGAUAUUUCACAAUGUAGGCUUUAAAUUAUUUGUCAACUUGAGUGUAUCUGCAAUUUUCAAAUAACUUUCAGUUUUUUUUACAACACGAAGGUAAAGGAUUUGAUUGCAUUGCUUUUGCCGCCUGAUACAGGCGAUUGUAUAGCAUCUAGCGGAGAAAUUCUUUACUGCCUAUCGGCCAUUGCCAUUCAUCGUCUGCUACUUAAUUUUUUCAUUUCUCACGUGGUCGGAGUGGAGACGGUGGCCUGUCACGCCUGAUCCCCAUAUUCCUGGAAUUUGGAAAUUCCUUGCCCAGUUGGUUAUCUCUCUUCUAAUUGUGCUACCAACUAUUGUUAAAUAUAAUUUGUUGUCAUUUCGUUUUCAUUAAACAUUCCUCGCUGUCAAACAGUAAAGAUAUUUGUUCUUGUCCAGCCCAGCUUGUGAUUCAUUGCUCAAAAUUUCCUGACUUCAGAAGUUGGUGAGGUGUUAAGUGACGGUGAGGUGUUAAGAGAUCUGCCAGAUUGACCAGGACUCGUGUUCAUCACCAAAUUAUUUCAUGUAGUAAUUUAUCUAUGUUUAGUGAACACACAAUUUCCAAGUCUGAUUCCUUUUUCUAAGUUGAGACAUCACAAUUUUUGUAAAAGGUUUUCUUUGUGUUAGGAUUCCUUUUUGACAGGAAAAUUAGAAGUUUUUUUUUUGGGGGGAAAGAGGUACUUUGGAUUCUUUCAUUUUAUUUCUGAGGGUGGAUGAGGUGGCAAGAUUCAAACUUAACUGUAAAUUCCUUGACCCUUGUUCCGUGGCGUUGGAGGACAGCGUCAUUUUGAGGUGACAGUAUUUUCGAGUAUUGUACAUUUCUUUUGUUCAUGUUCCCAGAAAAUUGACUCUUUUUAAGGUUUCAGCCAUGUCAAUCGAUUUCGUAAUGAAUGGUCUCAAUUAGAUAUUGUUUCUUAUUAGCUUUACUUUACUUCCCCCCGAGAUUAGUUGCUCCUGACUAGUAAUUGCUAUUUUCCGUAUCGACUUCUUCCUAAUAUUAAUUGCCACAAUCUUCUCCUGACUGAAUGUCUUGGAUGCAGUUUUAUCACGGCCAUGUUUACAGUUUGACUGAUGGGAGAUUUCACGCAGUCAUACAAUUAACACAGAUUGGGAUAAAUUUUGUUCUUUUAUUUGAAGACAUUUCUAAAAAGAUUUUCCGAACAUCAACCAGCUCUUUCUCUUGCUAAAUAAACUAUAUAUAUUCGUUUACGAUAUGUAGUGUGUUUAAAAGUAUUGAUUCUUAAAGUUGAAAUGUGUAAUUAAAAACGGAAAUAAAUAGUUGGAAUUGCA